CACAUUUAGCUAGCUAACGUUAACGAUAUUGUUUACAGAGUGGCUGCAACGUUGGCACAUUUCAGAAAAUAGCCUUAGCCCUUUCUGGGGUACCUGCAACGAGUAAAAUAAUAUUUCUCGCGUGAGAAGGGGAGGCUCAUUCGCCGCUGCCAGCCCAGAGAUUAUCAUUAAGAGGAGGCAAAUAAAAUGUGAAGGAUCACACUUAAGUGAAAACUGUUGAAGUUGAAUCCCGGAAAAUCGUCAAGCAGCCAGAGAACUGCAACCAUGUGAGGGAGGAAAAGCUCAUCAAGAUGUAAGGGAUGACAGAUUCCACCAUCUGCAGGUGACUCUGAUGCACAAAUGGUAAGUAAAAAGUUUGGAACACAAGCGCUGAGCGGAAGUUUUACAGAAGCGGUUUGGUGAACAAAGCCGUGGGCAGUGGUGGAAGGAGUAGUCAGAUCCUUUACUUAAGUAAAAGUACUAAAAACUCUGUUACAAGUAAACGUCCUGCAUUGAAAAUGUUACUUACGUAAAAGUAUGUUAGUAGCAUCAGGAAAAGGUACUCAAUGUUCUAAAAGU